rnacentral:sRNA from 1 species
UAACGACAGGUCGGUGGUCUGAGUCGAA